GUGGGGAAUCUUGCGCAAUGGGCGAAAGCCUGACGCAGCCAUGCCGCGUGAAUGAUGAAGGUCUUAGGAUUGUAAAAUUCUUUCACCGGGGACGAUAAUGACGGUACCCGGAGAAGAAGCCCCGGCUAACUUCGUGCCAGCAGCCGCGGUAAUACGAAGGGGGCUAGCGUUGCUCGGAAUUACUGGGCGUAAAGGGCGCGUAGGCGGACCGUUUAGUCAGAGGUGAAAGCCCAGGGCUCAACCUUGGAAUUGCCUUUGAUACUGGCUGUCUUGAGUACGGGAGAGGUGAGUGGAACUCCGAGUGUAGAGGUGAAAUUCGUAGAUAUUCGGAAGAACACCAGUGGCGAAGGCGACUCACUGGCCCGUUACUGACGCUGAGGCGCGAAAGCGUGGGGAGCAAACAGGAUUAGAAACCCCGGUAGUCC
rnacentral:rRNA from 1 species